UGCUAGCCCUCCCCUAGCAAGACACAUACACAUGUAUGUUUAUUGCGGCACUAUUCUCAAUGGCGAAGACUUGAUACUAACCCAAAUGUCCAUCGAUGAUACACUGGAUAAAGAAAAUGUGGCACAUAUAUACCAUGGAAUACUAUGCAGCCAUAAAAAAGGAUGAGUUCAUAUCCUUUGCAGGGACAUGAAUGAAGCUGGAAACCAUCAUACUUCAGCAAACUCUCACAAGAACAGAAAACCAAACACCGCAUGUUCCUCUCAUUUUUUACGAUGAUAGUUUUCUCACCAAUUUUGAGCAAAUUGAUGAUAACGUGCCCCAGUGUGGUUUUCUUUCUAAGUCUUAUCCUGAGGUAACUUGAAUUACUUAGCUCUGUGGGUAGACAAUUGUCAUAAAUUUGGAAAUAUUCUGUCACCAACUAUUCAAAUAUAUUUUUCUGUCUUUCUCCUCUCGCCUCUUCUUCAGUGGCACCAAUUAUGUAUCUAUUAGGCUACUUGGAGUUUGCCCAAAGCUCACAGGAAUGUAUUUCCUGGAAAGUGUUAAACAACAAACCAUCACAUCUUCUUGUCCAGAAAUCGAUCACUUGCCCUUCUCUGAACCAAUUACGGUAGAUGUGGGAUGGCACACCAUUUGCCAAACAGCGGAUCCCUGAGGUACAUGAGGUACUCUUUUAAAUUCUUCCUUGAAG
rnacentral:lncRNA from 10 species